rnacentral:rRNA from 1 species
GGCUCAGAACGAACGUUGGCGGCGUGGAUUAGGCAUGCAAGUCGAACGCGAAAGAGGGGGCAACUCCUCGAGUAGAGUGGCGAACGGGUGAGUAACGCGUGAGAAACCUGCCCAGAAGUGGGGGAUAACACUCCCAACGGGGUGCUAAUACCGCAUGUGGCGAGCGGCCCGCAUGAGCGGCUCGCUGAAGGUGGCCUCUGCUUGCAAGCUACCGCUUCUGGAUGGUCUCGCGUCCGAUUAGCUAGUUGGUGAGGUAACGGCUCACCAAGGCGACGAUCGGUAGCUGGUCUGAGAGGAUGGUCAGCCACACUGGGACUGAGAUACGGCCCAGACUCCUACGGGAGGCAGCAGUCGAGAGGCUUCGGCAAUGGGGGAAACCCUGACCGAGCGACGCCGCGUGGGGGAUGAAGGCCCUUGGGUUGUAAACCCCUUUCGACCGGGAAGAAAGAUCGCCGGGUGAACAAUCCGGCGGUUUGACGGUACCGGUAGAAGAAGCUCCGGCUAACUCCGUGCCAGCAGCCGCGGUAACACGGGGGGAGCGAACGUUGUUCGGAAUCACUGGGCGUAAAGGGCGUGUAGGCGGUCCGGUAAGUGGGAUGUGAAAUCCCCCGGCUCACCCGGGGAACUGCAUCUCAUACUGCUGGACUUGAGUGCGGGAGAGGAUGGGGGAAUUCCUGGUGUAGCGGUGAAAUGCGUAGAUAUCAGGAGGAACACCUGUGGCGAAGGCGCCCAUCUGGCCCGUUACUGACGCUGAGGCGCGAAAGCUAGGGGAGCAAACGGGAUUAGAUACCCCGGUAGUCCUAGCCGUAAACGGUGGGCACUAGGUGUUGGAGGCAUUGACCCCUCCAGUGCCGCAGCUAACGCAUUAAGUGCCCCGCCUGGGGAGUACGGCCGCAAGGCUGAAACUC